CGGGCACACAGAGCUCGUCAGCUCCCACAGCUGCCGCGUUGGUGCCGCGGCGUCCAGGGCGAUUCACGGAGCAGCUUUGAGUGAGACAAGGAGGAGGAAAUUGGGAUGGGAGCUUCUUUUCUUUUUCCAGCCUUUCUGAGACAAGUGCAGAGUGCAGUGGAGGCAGCUGCAGGUGCCAAGGGGAGCAUCGUGCCUGAAACGUCAUCUCGGGCUGACCUCGGUCACUCAGCUUUCAUGGGCUGCUCUCUGCACAGAGUGGGGUGAUGAUGGAGUGACACCACAUUUGGGCCAAAUCUGUAGUGCUUGGGAAGGUGCACAAAUGCACCAUUGCCAGCCAAGUCUGAGCUUGUCCCUGAUGAUCAGUCCGUGCUCACCAUCACCUGCCAGCUCCCGAGUCCCACAAGGGCAGCCCUCAGGCAGCACAUGAACAGCACCAGCCUCACCACCUGUGACCUCAGUGUUUAAAAUUCUCAGUUCUGAGUAAAAGUUAUUCACUGGACCCUCGGUUUUCAUAAGGCACCUGAAGGAAGAGCUGAUUGAGGCUGGGGUUGUAAACGGACAGAUCUCCUGGGGUUGUGUCAUGGGUGGGCAGAGCCUGGAUAAAACCAAAGCUGUCAUGAGAACAUGGGAAUGUGUCAUCCAGAAGGGAGUUGCUGAGACAACUGUGGAAGAUCUCACACUGUAUUUUUCACACUAAUGCCAGAUGGCCAGGAAUGGGAUCCCCCACGUUCUCCUCCCAGUCUGAGAAGACAAGAAAAUAAACAAGGGAAAUGUCUGUGCUGAUGGCAUCUGUUGGCUCCCUCAUAAGGACAGUCUGGUGAGGAGUUCAACAUGCCAAGGCAGGUGAUGGAAGGAUUCUGGAAGGAAAGUGAAAAAUGACAUAAAUGAGCUGCAACAACAGCCCUGCCCUGGCAAGGAGUACAAGGAAUGGAGACCUGGUUUAAAGGUAACUGAACACCAAGGAGUUUGGAUUAGCAUAUAAAAAAUUCACUGCUCCCCUCUUCAAACUCUUCACUCUCUUCAAACUCCUGCACAUCUUUUAAAUUGGGAAAUUCUGUCCUGUCUCGUCUGGUGAGGGAUGCUGAAGUGGGGGCAGUGGGAUCUCACAUGGAGAGGAAGGCGAUGUGCUGAUCAAAUAUUCCAGUGGGUUUGGGGUGCUGUCCCAGGAGGUGUAAAAGGAGGAUGGAUCUCAGACCUCUGAGCCCUUGCUGUGAUGAAAAGCUGCAGACAAAGCUCUCCAACAAAUGUCUUCAUAAUACUUAACAUUCAAUGGAGCAAAAGGAGAAUAAUGAGCACUGCAGCCAUCCCAGGCGUUUUUCCCAACGAGCCAUGUGGGAGUCGAUGGAGAAGGUGGGGAUGUUGGCACAGCCUGGUCCCACGGAUGCUGAUUGAUGAAACAUCAGCUUUGAACACUGGAUUUUCCUUCUGAAACAUCGAAUAAAUAAGAGAGGUAGAAGAAGUGAGGGCAGGGAGCAUAUGUGGCAUAGCUCCUUCCCCACCUUGCUCAGGAGCCCAGCGCACUCCGAGGCAAAGAUGAAAAGUGAGGAUCAGAUGAAAGGAUGGGAAUGAUCACUCAGGUAUCUGUACACUGAUUUUCCUGAUCUCUGACUUGGAAAGCCUCUCUUCACUGCAGUACCUGCUCCCCAGAGCUGGGAAUGCUGGGGGAGCCUGGAGAUCCCCACGAGGUCUCCCUGAGUGCACCCACCUGGAUGCCCUGGGCAGGCAUCACAAAGUGACACCUGAGCCCGAGGCUCCUUUGGUGUGAGGAGCAGCCAGGAGCUGGGCAGGAGGGGACUUUCCCAGCUGGGGAUUAUGAAAGAACAUCUUCAUUUCCCAGCCAGACUCCGAGGUAAGGGUGUAAACCAGCCAGGCACAGCGCCAGGGUGAGCAGGGCUGUCUGCUGCCAUCCUGAACCCCCCAGAAAAGGCCGCUCCAGGUGGAGCAGAGCUUUGCCUCAUCUUGUUGUUGAACAGACAUUGGGUGCUCAGGGUCUCUGUGCCUGUGGAGCCACAACCUGCAGCUGGAGCUUCAUUCACAAACAUCCUCAGAGGCUCCUGUGCCAUCAAACCCAGGCAGGAUGGGUCUGGCAGGCUCUCCCCUCCUCCCUGAGUGCUGGCAGGGACUCAGGAGCAGCAGACAUGGAUGGGAUGGGUGCAGGGCUGCUCCAGACCUGCUGGAACACAGACACCUCUCUGGUGCUUCAUCAGUGCUUUCCACAGAAAGAGCAUUUUGGAAGGAGCAGAAAAAUGCUUUGUGCAAUUAAAAAUACCCAAAAGGACUCGGGCUGGUAGGAUGUAAAGAACUAAAUGCCCAAAUCAGCUUUCUCUUCCUGGAAGAGAUCCACAGCACAGAUGCUGUUGGGUGUUUUGUCUUUCCCAUGGCUCUAUCCUGUCCUUCCUCUGCUGCCUGGACCUCCUGCUCUGCCCUGACACUGCAGUGCCACGCUUGAUUUAUCCAAAUAAUGGUCUUUUGAAGAAAAAUGCCCCUUUGCUCCGUGCUGAGGGAUGGCUGAGUCAGGGAAAGCAGCGCUUGGACGUUUUCCUGGGAGGUUGCUGUGUCCAGUGCUGGUCAGGCCCUGGUCCAGCUCAUCCCCUGGGAGCUGCUGACGCUGCAGACCCUCAGGCUGCAGCUUUUCCUGUUAAAAACCCCACAAACAACCUCCCUCCCUGCAGGAUGAAAUAGGAACUUGCAUUUUUCCUGAUUUCCAUGAAGCAAUCCAUUAACCCCGGGAUGCAAAGUAGCUUUUCCACACGGGCAGCCACCCAACCCAGACGUGAUUUCCAAGUGAGAUCGUCCUUAAUGGGAUGGUGCAUGGGAUUGGCAGGUUUGGGAAGCUGUGGAGAACGAGAUUGUUGUCACUUAGAUGGGCCCAGAGAACCCCAUCUGUAUUCUGGGGAUGUUUGGGCCAGGGUGGGUGUGCUGUGAUCCCUGUCAGGCGCUGCAAGUGCAAACCUUCACUUCUGUUUUCAUGAAAAUCAAAUCUAGAUCAUAAGGAGGCAGCUCUAUUGUUGGCAUCUGGUUUGCUCUGUUAAAAUACAUCUUUCUUUUUUAAAUUAAUAAUUGUAAUAGACAUUUAUUUACGUGGAAUGCUCACACUUACUGCUCUGACUUUUCCCAGGGAAAUAAUUAUAAUAAAAGGAAAGGAAGUGACCUCAGUACUGGCCAAAUGCAGCUACCAUUAGUGAGACACAGCUUUGCAACUGGGCAAAACAUUCUGCCUUGCAGGAGCUUCAAGAACAGUUUUAUUCCUUUGAACUAAAUGAUUUUUGAAUGAAAAGCAUUAAUCAGCCACUGCUGAAGAACAUUCAGCUGUUCUUUCUGCUGGUGCCAAAAGGAAUCUGCUCCUUUUACCUCUACAAAGAUGCUGGAGCAGAGUUUUUACUGGAAUCCUGUUUUGCUCAAAGGCUUGUGCUUAGAAGUUUGUAAGAGGUUGAGGAAUUGGGCAUGAGGUGCAGGCCACUGCAUCCAGCCAGGACAAACUGAGUCUGCUUGGGGGUUUUGUGUUCCAAAAACGAGUCAUGAGGCACUUUUUGAUAUGGUUUAGUGGGCAGAAGGUAUUUGGGUGAAGGCUGGACUUGGAGGGCUUUUCCAGCCUGAAGGAUUCUGUGACUCUGUGGAUGCACUGAACCCCUGAGGCUGCUGCAGCCCAGCUGUGCUGGCUCUGCCUUUCCCCAAACCCCCCACGUGUGACAGCUCCCAUGGAUUCGGUACCUGGUGUGGUGGUGAUGGACAAACCCCAGAGCAGACCCCUGACACUGAGAGCAGAUCUCCAGAAUUGCCUUCUCUGGGGGGGGGUUGAGCUCUUUGGGUGUUGGGGCUGUGUGAGGACAAAUUAUAACAGAAAUAAAUAAUGAUGUGGGAGGUGUCGAGGUGGUCUGGGAGAAGGAGGCAGGAGUGGGAGUGGAUAAAAAAAAAUGUAAUUUUUUCAAGCCAGCUCAGCAGUCCCCUGUGUGCAGCCUAAUUUCAGAGAUAAUUGGUACAUGAUUUCCUGAGUGGAAUCUUUUGUUAUCUGUGCCCUGCAAACCAAACAAAGCCCUGGCUAAUUCCGGAUAACUGGGGGGGAUUCCGUAGUUACCCUGCAGUGAGAGGGGGGACUGGGGAACGAUCUUUAAAGAUCACAUCAGCUAAUUCGGAGCUGCUGGCAGUUAAAGCAGCCUGGUCACCAAGGGGCUGUGAGCAGCAGCAGCCUCGGUGAAUUCCAAAGGCAGGGAGAAGGGAAAUGCUGCUGAUCUCGCCUUGGUGCGCCAGGAUCAGCCCUGAGCUGAAGGAAAAGCAUGAGAGAAUUCACUGCUUUGUGUGCAGAACUACUCCUCAACCCUCUGAAGGGCUCAGAGAGCUCCUCCUUGAACAGGGAGUGUGGGGCAGGUUUGGGAAUUACCAUCCAGAUCAGGCUCAACAGGACAUUUGGGAAUGCUGGGAGCUGCUGGGCACUCGAUGGGCAGGAGGUAAAAAACCCCACAAUGGAAAAGUACCAACGCUCGGGAGAUGCUGCUGCUGUUUUCCCUGUUUUCCAGUGUUCUCCUGGCUUCAGGUGGGAUUCUCCACUUCAGUGAAGCCUUUGGGUUGGCUGAUGGAGGGAGAAGGAUGGAGUCACAUUUCUCUGUGCUUCCCAGGAGAAAGACAGGAACAAUCCCAAACUCCUCUCCAAAACCAGGUCCUGGGAGCUCAGUAGGCUGAAAUAACCUGAUGAAGACCCACAAUUCACCCAGCAAAACCAGGAAUGUCUAUUCUAGGUCGGGAGCUGCCCUGUUCCAUCUGUUCCUUCGAUGGUUUCGCUUCAUCCCAAGUACAGCCCCACUGGCUGUGGCAAAACCACGAGUUUUUAUGGCACCACAGAUGAGGAUUCACACAAACCAGGGCUCUGUUACCUCCAGGACCCUUUGGAAAGUCCAGUCCUCUGCAGUUAAUGACUAUUCCCAUUACUGCCAUGGUCCUGGCACUUACGGGAUGGAUUUUGGGACCUGCUGGAAGGUGUGGAGGCUGCGAGUGCUGCCUGUAUCAAACCCAUUCCUGGUAAUCCAAGACCCAGCCUGUGCUGUGCUGAAAUUCCUGUAUCUAUGGCUGGAAUUCCACUUCCAUUCCCAUAUCUGUGGCUGGAAUUCUGCUUCCAUUCCCAUAUGAAUGGCUGAGCAGGAUGAUAGGAACUGGUCACAGGGCUCUUGGCAGUCGCUCUGCUCCCAUCUUGGGAAUCUCAUUCUCAUUGUCUGACAAUCAGGGACUGGGAGAACAAAAACUUGAGGUUUUUUGCCUGUUAAUGACAGGCAAAAUGAGAGGACUAAUGACUGUAAAAUGCAGCAUGUGAAGAAGAUAUUUGCAUGUCCCUCACUCUUUUGGGUGGCUCAAGUGGAUGUGGAUCACGGAUCUGUCUCCUUUGAUAUAACAGGUAUUGGGACUGGAAUUCUGAAGAUGUCAUGGAUUCAACCCCUUACAGGCAGGAUGGGUGCAGGUAUGGAUGCCCUGCUGCCCUUGGGCAUUCCUGGCUCCACAGCCUCUCCAGAGGCAGAACCUCUGCUGCAAUUCCCAGGCUGGGAGACAAAUAUCCCUUGGCAGCUUCCCACGAGUCCGUAUUGAUCAGGGCAGCGCUGCCCUUUUGUUUCGUGCUGAACAACCCAGAGUUUGGAAUUGAGACCUGUCAGGAGCUGAGGGCCUUAACAGAGCAGGCUGGCAGGAAGAGGGCUAUAAAUUUCCCAGGAAUUCACGCCAUGGUUAACACUGGGGAGGAACAGGCUGCACACAGACGGCCCUGCCAUGCAAAUCCCGAUCGAUGUGCUGACAAAUACCCUGCUGCAUCCUGCUGCCUCACUCAAUAUUUCUUCAAAUAGACGGAAUUUAGGAGGUAGGGCAAGGCAUAACUUUCCACCUGAAGUGAUGCAUGGGUGGGAGGUAUUGUGGAACUAAUCAGGAGUGGAUGGAUGAGCUUUGUAUCUGCCUCACUGUUUAUUUCACAUAUCUGCUGCUAAACUAUAUUCAAAAGGCUCUUAAUUGAAAAGGGACCUGCUUGACAUGUGAAGCACCAUUUGUCCAGUGUGUAUUCUGAAAAGGCAGUAUGAUAUCCUGGGGAUAAAUCCAGGAAUUGACAGGAAUCUAGGUCAAUACAUUUAUGCAGGAAAACAGGAACCCCCUUCAAGCAAGUUCCCCUCAAGCCCCACAACUCCAUCAGGCGUUGCCCAGCAUCUCCACCCUUCCACAGGGCUUUUCUGGAGCACCCAACUUUUCAUGCCCUUCAGUGCCAACCAAACUCUGCCUGAAGAUCCCCCUCAGCUCCUCAGGUGUCUCCAGCUCUCUGUCCUUUGCCACUGUUGCCCAGCCCAGCCCCAACCACCCCCUGCUCCUCUGUGCUGAAGCAGAAGACAGUGUCUGCAGAGGUGCAGAGGCUGCCAAAGGUGAUGGCCGAAGUGUUUUCAUCUUUGCUGCUUGCUGUUGGACAGUGAGAAAAAUCAGGGAAAAGGAGAUACUUGAUGUGCAAAAGGAACCUAUAAAGUAGGUUUUCCAGAGCAGCUGUGGCUGCCCCAUCCCUGGAUGGUCCAAGCCCAGGCUGGGUGAGACUUGGAGCAACCUGGGAUGGUGGAAGGUGUCAGGGGUGGGACUGGAUGAGCUUUAUGUGGAGGGGACUUCCCCACUUUUGGUCACUCCAGGAGGGAGCUGGCUCUGCUGGAGGGGGAUUCUCACUGAGCUCCCACUGCUGUGUGAACUGGGAAUUUGGGGGAGGUUUGGGGGGGUGACAAACAUGCACUGCAAGGAGAAACUUGGACUGACACUUGACAACUCCUCUGUUUUGUAAAUUCCAGAGGAAUUUGAAUUGCAUGGCGGUUUUUCACUUGCAAAUGUUGCAGACUUGUUAUUUUUCCCUUAUAUUUUAAGCUUAUAGCAUUGCAUAAUUUUUAUAACUCUGUCCUUGUGGAGGAACAAGCAGAGAGCAAUAUCUCUGGAAUAAUUCCCUUGCAACAGCAAUCUGCUUUUGCCUGCAGACAAAAUAAUCCAAACCACGUUAAUAGUUUUAAUUUGCAGUGGUGUAAGAGCUGGUGCUUCUGGAAAGGUGAUCUUUAAAUCUGUGGUAAAUUCUGAUUCCUCCAGAAGAGCUGUGUGGGAGCUCCAGGUUUGUUAGCGGAGCAAAAUAUUGGAGCUACAAGAUUGUUUGGAAAUACCUUAUGGAAGAGUAACUGGAGUAACCAAAGCAGAUGUUAAACUGGAAGGACUGCAGUGGGGUUUGGUCCUGGGCAGGUUGAUGCUAAGGGAGGGCAGGAGAAGCCAAAUGCUUGAGGAGGGCUGGAAGGGAAUAUCAGACAAUGGCAGGAGAUGUUUAGAUAAACAAUAAACAACUGCUGAAGGCAGGCAUUAAGAGAUGAGUGGGAGAGAGAUGUAAAAAGAAAUGGAAGCGGGGAAGAAAAAGGUUGUAAUGGAACGCUGAGAGGAUGUGGUCAGCCUGUGCCAGUGGGAUUCCUUUUGGUGCCAUCAGGGAUCGGUGGCUCAUGGGACUGUCCCCAGCUCCUGGGGCAGGUGACACACCCAAGGCCAGCAAGAGGCUGCUCCAAACUGGUGGUGGAAAACACAAGUAAAAUUGAAACUCAUAAAUGUUAUGGUGGAGAGGAGGAGAGAAGAAAAUGUUUUUUUUUUUCUUAAUGCCAGCUGGCGCCUUGUCUUACGUGGAAGAGGAGGAGGAGGAGGUGGUGAAAGAGGAAGGAGGGAGGAGGUUGAUUCUCCCAUGGGAGAGGAGGAGGAUGGGAAGUUGCUGAGGAAACCAUUGGAUUUCCUGGCAUGAUGUGAUGGGGGAAUUGGACCAUCUCUCGAUAGCAACAAAAAUGCCUUUGCACAAAAUUCCCAUGUUUUCCUGGUUCAGAAUAAGUCAGGGGAGCUGAGGGAGUUCUGUGGCCUCAGAAAGGAACUGGGAUAACAGAGCUGUGGCCUCUAAGGUCCUUGGAGGCAAGACAAGGUGAGCAGAGCAUCCCCGCUCUGCAUCCGCCCCGCUGAGAUGUGGCAGUGACACAGGAGGGACAGCACGGGAGAACUCCCUGGGAUUGUUUCCCUUCUCUUGUCAUUGCCCUCCCCUGCAGCAAAUGCCCUCAGGGUACUGAAAAUAAACAGCUUCUCUUUUCCUAUCAUUUCCCAACAACGCUUCAAUUUCUGGGAGCCUCUGCCCAUCCAGGAGCACGAGGCCCCAGAGAUGCCCCCACACCAUCUGCUGGUGCCUGGCUUUGGCAUUCCAGGCUCUUGGCAAUCCCCUCCAAAGCAUUUCGGUGGGAAAAGCCCCAUUUCCCCUCCUUUCCCAGACUGGAGCUCUCCCAUUAAUGGCCCCAUUCCUGUCUCUGCCGUGUGCAGUAUAAAUCCCACUUUAGCUUUGUGAGAUCUUCACUGGGCUCUGUGGGCCAUUGUGCAGUCAUUCCACUGCUGCUGGGAGCAUUUGGAGCCCUUCCUAUUAUUUGUCUUUAUUCUAGGGAAUAAAUGCACAGCAUUUGCUGCAGAUGUGCCUCUUCUACUGAAAAAGUUCCCCUCAGCAUCAGGAAUUAGUUCAGGCACAACAGGCAGAGGUGGAAACACACUCUGAAAAUGCCACACUGGCUUUUCCCAAACAGCAGUGGUGACAUUUUGGAUUGACACGAUCCAAACCACUGCGGGAGUGCUUUGGGGAGCAGAGCAAGGGGCGGGGGUGCCCCUGCUCCUCAGCUUCCCAGCACCUGUUUUUCUGGAUCUCCUUUGUCCAGGGGAUUCCCCCCAGUUGCCACUCUGGCUCCUCUCUGGUGUUUUAUUUAGAAAAUUAAGUUGCUGUACAGUGUUCAGUGAUCGUAUUUAACGUGCCCUUGGAUAACAUUUAAAUGUGGCACAGCAAAGCAAGCUAGGAGGAACCUCUCACACUGAGGCGAGAGCAAACUCAUUUACAAAAGUACUUCAGUAGGAAUUAAAAUAAAAUAUCUGUUUUCCGCAGUCUCAUUCUGAUCCUCGUUGUCAUUAACUUACUCCAAACCCCACUUGGUAUUUCAAACUGGAGUAAAUCAUUGUGUCUUCCAAUUAACUUCCAUCCUCCAGACAACAUAAUGGGACUAAUUUCAUUCAACUCCGUUGUUUAAUAAACAUCUAAACAAUUCUCUA